AUGCAAUCUUAUAAUGUAUUUCUAGGAUCUCAUGUCAAUAAUAAAUUUAUUUUCUUCUUUAAUUGAAUGAAAGUGGCUUUUGAAAAUAUUGCACUGGGAAUUUUCCUCUUCUUCCAGAUUACGGUAGGAAUGAUUGGAAAUUUCGCAAUACUAUUUUAUUAUGUCACUCUGAAAUUCACUGGAAAACAUUUAAUGCCCAAAGACCUAAUCAUAGAGCACUUGACUUUUGCCAGUUGCCUCUUUAUCAUCUCAAAAGGCAUUCCACAGACACUGUCAGAUUAUGGAUUAAAAGAUUUCCUGGAUGAUAUUGGAUGCAAAGUGAUAAUGUAUAUUUACCGAAUAACAAGGGGGAUGUCCCUGUAUGCAAUGUGCCUAUUGAGUUGCUUCCAAGCAAUCACAAUCAGCCACAGCAACUCCAGGUGGAUGAUGCUUAAACACAGAGCCACCAAGUACCUUGGUCCCUCCUGUUCACUCAGCUGGCUUGUGCACUUAUUUCUAAAUAUCUUGACUCCAGCAAGAGUGUCAGGUCCAAGUUACAACAAAAAUACAACUAACGGGAUGAUUUAUGGUUACUGUUCAUGGUUUGCUUCAGGCAAUUUUGCAACUGCACUGUAUGUGUUCUUAUUGUGCUUCUGUGAUGGACUGUGUCUGGGCCUCAUGGCCUGUUCAAGUGUCUCCAUGGUGAGUAUCCUCUACAGACAUAAGAAACAAGUCAAUCAUAUUCACAGUGCUCAGGAUUUUUUAAAAGUCUCUCCUGAAAACAGAGCUAUGAAAACUAUCCUCAUCUUGGUGUGCACUUUUAUCCUCUCUUAUUCAUUCUCCUCUACUGUGGCUGUCUUUACAACCUAUUCUAAAUAUCCAGAGCUUUGGGGAGUAAGUAUAUUUACAUUUCUAGAAAUAUGCUUUCCCAUAUUUUGCCCCUUUGUUCUCAUCAACAAUAUGAAGUCUAGUUCCAGUCUGCUUCUACCCUGCUUUCACAGUAGAUAACUUUCUCAAA